GUCAAAGCUUGACCAGAGGUGAGAACACGUUGUGUUAUUGAACCUGAAUCCAGUAGCUCCAUUGACCAUUAUUGUCCCAUGGAUUUGUGAUAUAGAAUUCAUUGAUUGUCCUCAGACAAAACACAGUGGAAUGUUGAUGGCUAUCUUCUCAUUGUAAUGUGGAUCCGGUCAAAGCAGAAUGAUUUGACCAAAGAAACAAAAAAUGAAAAGAAAGAGAUCUUGGAAUUGAUAUCUUGCGAGCAAUUCAAGGCAAUGGAUUAAAAGCUAGUCCGGGAAAGUCAGCUUGAGUAGUGAAUUAGAUCAGUUUGGUUGUACAAGGUGUCACAGGUGUCCAUAACGGGAGUCUAAUGUGGAUUAACUCUUAUACCAACAGUGACGGAUGAUGGCUACUGCUAACGAAGAUUUUAUGGCAAACGAGGAUGGGAAGGUUGAAAGUAAUGGCCACGACCAGGCUGAUGUCGGCUAUCAGAAACACCGAGAAAGUCAAAGUGAUAUGCCAGUCCCUGACAAUCUGGUGAAUGAUGCACAAGCUCAGGCUGACGCCAUUUUGGGUCGUUUAAAGAGUGUUGUGACUUAUGGAAUUGAGGAUAACCCGCCUUGGCACACCACUAUAGUCCUAGCAUUUCAGCAUUUCUUAACGAUGUUCAGUGGAGUAUUGGCAAUCCCUUUGAUCCUGUCUAAUUCCUUGUGUCUUGCUGAAGAUCCUGGCACCUUAGCAGAACUCAUAGGAACUAUCUUCUUUAUCUCUGGGCUCGUCACCUUACUGCAGUCCACCUUUGGCGUCAGGUAAAUCAACAAGAAUCGAUUUUCCUAAAGCAACCCAUAGGCGGAUCCAGGGGGGGCCCCGAGUGGCCUGGCCCCCCCCCUAUUGGC